rnacentral:misc_RNA from 1 species
CUUCCCGAACGCACUCGGCGAUCAUAUGGUCGAAUGUGACAACAGAUGCGCGCUGCUGUAGUCGUGAGGUUCACGCAGUAGCGAGUUCCGCCGGCAUUUAUCUGGUGAUUAGUUCGCGGAAGUCGUAGUCGGUCGCCCGAAAAGCUCACGCUUCAUAUCCGCAAAUGCGCGCUAGCUGCAGCGUGACUUCUUCUGCCAGUUCACUCCGUACUCCCCGCCCGUGACGAGAGACAGACGGGCCGCGCGCUGCUUGAACCAUGUGUGACAAACUCAAAGUCAAUCAAGCCUGCGUCACCGUUCAGUCUGCUUACUUGUACCCUCUAGAUCUCUACGCGCAGACGUCGGAAUGCUACGGGUGCACGCUCCAGCUAGUCCGCCGUGCACACCAUCAGAGUCGCCACAAUUUCAGCGUGGUCUUGGGCAGCAUCUAUGAGACGGAGAUGCAACUGCGGAGGCACUUUGAUGACAACCCCUUGCCCAACUGCACUUACCGUAGGCACCUUGGCGAGCAUGGCUCAUAUCUGCUGCAUGUCUCAUCCGAGGGCCACUGUGACUGGCAGGUAGCCGAGGAGCCUGUCAACAUCUAUAAUCCACUCAUUGUAAUGGCGGCAGUGCUGCUGUUCCUGAUAUUACUCUGGCAAGCAGUGGCCUGCUUCAAGAGGCUGUGCUCUGCUGUUGUUCCACUCGGCACUGUCCCCUCGGACUCUCAGCAAGGCAUACUGGGGACUGCUGUGACAGUUGAAGAUGGCCAGGCUGUAACCACUGCACCCCCUAAAAAGCGGCUGCGCUCUCUUGAUGCUUUUAGAGGGCUCUCACUGGUGCUGAUGGUGUUCGUCAACACUGGUGGCGGCAAGUACUGGUUCUUCGAACACAGUCCAUGGAAUGGGAUCACCCUUGCCGACCUGGUCUUCCCAUGGUUUGUGUGGAUCAUGGGUGUCUCACUGGCCAUGACCAUACGGUCGCUCCUUCGCAAGUCCAUCACCAGAGGUCGCAUAUUCCUGCAAAUUGUGAAGCGCACGCUCAUCCUAUUUGGGCUCGGCAUAGUGACCAACACUCUUUCUGGUGACGUUGACCUAAAAAUGCUGCGUAUUCCUGGUGUACUGCAACGCCUGGCCUUUUCCUAUUUGGUGGCUGCUACGGUGCACCUUCUGUUUGCCAAGCCUCAUGGAGGACACCUGGUGUGGGCCCCUGUGCGGGAUGUGCUAGCCUACUGGCCCGAGUGGCUGUUGGCGAUUCCCCUCCUGGCACUUCACUUGGCCCUGACCUUCCUUUUGCCCGUGCCCAACUGCCCGCAGGGCUACCUUGGUCCAGGAGGUUUGCACCUGAACAGCAGUUUUGAAAACUGCACAGGUGGGGCAGCUGGAUUUAUCGAUCGAACAAUCUUUGGCAAGCAGCACAUCUACCAGACACCAGAUAUGCGGCAUGUAUAUCACACACACCUGCCAUAUGACCCUGAAGGUACACUAGGAUGCCUCACAUCCAUAUUUCUCGUCUUCUUGGGCCUUCAGGCUGGCAAAAUUCUGCUCACGUUCACAGAGUGGAAACCUCGAGUUGUUCGUUGGUGUUGCUGGGGCCUCUUUUGCGGCAUUGUUGCUGGUGUCCUGUGCAAGUUCUCAAAGGAAGAUGGCUGGAUUCCUGUGAACAAGAGCCUGUGGUCAGUGUCCUUCAUUCUGUCCACGGCAAGCACAGCCUUCUUUCUUCAGGCUAUCCUGUACUACCUGAUUGACGUCUGUGGAUGGUGGUCGGGGGCACCACUUGUCUACCCAGGCAUGAACUCCUUGGCCGUGUAUAUGGGGCACGAGAUCAUGCAUGGCGUAUUCCCAUGGGCAUGGCAGUGCCCGGAGUCACACUGGUGCUACCUCUUUAUGAACCUCUGGGGCACUGCACUCUGGGUGGUCUUUGCAUGGCUGAUGUUCCGCAGAAAGCUGUUCAUCUCCGCCUGAAGGAAUCUCCUCCUCCGUGGUUGCUGCACAGCACGGACUCUAUCACCCUGAAGUUUCCGUGUCUGUCAUUGUGAAUGUGUUGGUGUGCAAAUAUUUUGUGUAGUGUAUCACGCCACAAAUAUUUACAUGUGGGCACUUCCAAAUGGCUACAUUGCGGCAUAUUGCCAGAGAUGCAAGGAACACUCGGCAAGCAUUUUGUACAGCAAGCUCGACUGUUUUACUACAUGGAAGUAAAAACGCUCACCAGGCACCACAGGUUUUGCAUGUCAUCAAAGAUGCAAAUCGCCAUAAUGGUGGUGUGCAAGAGUAUGCUGUGAAGCAGCAGUGUGACUUGUGCCACCCAGCAGUUGGUGACUCGAAAAUGACACCACGACCCUCAAACAUAUUUUGAACUCCAUUCUCACCAUAAAUAGAAUAGCUAGUUGCAUUGUUUGAAUGUAUAGUGUUAUUUAGGAAGGCAGUACACUGUCAGUAGCAAGCAAAAACUGCAAUGGUCUCAUAGGUGGUGCACAUUGGUGUGUAUCUGUUGCGCUGUGGCAUGCUCUUGAGGUUUGGGAUCGGUGCUGCAUUUUCCGUUUUAGUUGGCUCUGCAUAUAUACAAGAGAAAGAGGCCUUUGUUUUGCCUCAAUGUGCGGCCAAGUUCUAUCAAAUAGGCUUGUGCUUUGUGUCACAAUUCCAGGCUGUCUCUGGUCAUUUCAGGAUUGCAGUCAUAGUGCACUCUUAUAAUAACUGAAUGACUUGUUUGCUUAGUGUAUUUUUCAUGUUUCUGGUGCCAAAUACCACUCAUCUGGUCAUGUAAAACCUGCAAGUAGUAGUUUGUGUUGUAAUGGCAGUCUUAUCAACUCUGCUAUAGGCCGUUUUACUUAAAGGUGAUGUUAAUUUUUUGUUAGCCACAUUAAAAGUCUUAUUCCUCCUUUCAUUAUGUAGAGCCCACACACACAGCAGCAGGCAUAAAAUUUUUCGUUCUCUAUUUUUUCCUUCUUUUCUUUCAUUGCAUAGAAUAAUAGACAUUUGAAUUUGACUGCUGAGACUUUCCAUGUGGUUCUCUUAAUUAAAUGCAUGGGAAUGCUGCAGUCUGUUUUUAUGUUGGCUGCUCCAUCAGUUGGGCUGUAGCUAGGUACACCAAAUAGUCUAACUGUAAUUUGCUGCAUGAAAGUUUUUGUAUCUGUGCAGAAGAGAGGAAAAGAGUAAAAAGUAAGACGUAACUUUUAGAAUGGUUCAAGGCAAGCAGAUUAAGUACUUGAGCUUUCUUAAACUUGCACUAAGCCAUGUGUGCUCGGAAGACUUAGUGAACUCUCAUGAAAGGUUUAAAUGCUGCACAUGUGAUGCAGUUUAGGGUGUCGCUUCGGUAUUCUGAAUACACCCUAGCCUAUCUCCGUUUGCAGCACUGGGACUGUAAAGUUGGAAUUUCAAAAAUGUUAGAGUGUACAAUAUGUGGCAGUUGAGAUAUUUUAUGGCCUGCUCGAACACCCAAAAGCUCUCACCUGGUAUAGUUAAGCUGCUGUUUACUCUUUAAGUCUCGUGCUGAAUAGUGUAUUGUGCAUUGUGCAGAACUGUUGAGCUCAAGAUAAUGGGGAAUACUUGCUCUUGGAAGAGAAAAAGUAACUGGUUAAAACUUGUGUGGUGCUUUUGCUGAUACUUCGAGCAGAGCUUCCCGUAGAAUAAGAGAGUCCAUGAGAGAGACCAGACCUUGCUGUAUUUUUUCACUGCAGCUAUUUUUUUUACUUUCUUAUGUUCGUUUGUUUCUGUCUUCCUGUGUGUUGACUGACUAGAUCAUGAAAGGGUGCUACAGUGUUGCUGGACAAAUUGAGCUUUUUAUUUUAUUUUGACAUUGCUCUGGUGUAAACCUUAAGUUUGCUGCUGCUUGAAAUGUUCUAUGCACAGUUUUUUUUAUACUGCAGAGACUAAAUGUACUUAGCACCAUAUACCGAGCUUGUGUCUGUAUCUUUUGCAAUAGCUGCUAUUUUUAUGCCUAACACUGCCAUAUGUGGGUGUGCUAUGUCUUUCAACUGCAGUUUCACUUGAGCGUACAACAUUUUACUGCCAGAUUGUUGUUUUUACCAAGAAAGCAUUCUGUCGGUAGUUAAAACAGGUGUCAAUCUUGUUGAGUAGUGCCAUGGUAGGCAGUAGUGCUUGCCUUGAAAUCUUUUUGUUUAUGCUGUUGAUGCCAGAGACUGCAAGAACUUUAUUCCACCACAAUUUCAGAAUGUUGGCAGCAGAUUCGAGUGCUCUUUAUUGUAUACUGCUGUGUGAUUAACGCGUAAAAUACUGUUAUCUAAAGCCUGCCAGGUUUUAUUCCCAUUCAAGACAUUUCUCAUUGCCCAAAGUGUGAAACGAAUAUUCUUAUUGCAAUUGUUGUCACAUUACCUAUAGCACUGCAACUGCCUUGUGGCUAUUACGUUCAUGGGAAGUUGUGACUGUAAGUCUAAUGCUUUUUCACCUGUUUCAUCUCCUGUGUGUCCCAAUCCUAAUCUUGGCUACAGUGUUAAGAAGUAUCGUGUGCGUCAGUUCACAAAAUUUUUGCAUGUGUGUCUCUUGUCAGUCUGCAUUAUGGGCUGUGACUUGCUGCUUUCCAAAUUCUUUUGAAAUUUGAUUUGUUUGGCUUUUUCUUACAACCGUAUGUUGCACCAUGGAGCUCAGUUGUGUGUCAGCUGAUACAGAUGUUUAAAGUUUAUGAAGAAUUUAUAUAUAUAUACUGAAAAGCAUAUGGAAUCGAAAGAUAUAUUUAGCUAUUUCAGUAUGACUUAGGCUUCUCCUGUUAUAGCCUGUUCUUCUGAAUAAACUGAAUUUUGCAAUAUAUGUUCUGUAUUAUGAUUAUUCUUGUUCACUCAAUAGGGAAGUUUUGUUUCUCGU